GAUGAACGCUAGCUACAGGCUUAACACAUGCAAGUCGAGGGGAAACGACAUCGAAAGCUUGCUUUUGAUGGGCGUCGACCGGCGCACGGGUGAGUAACGCGUAUCCAACCUGCCCAUCACUUGGGAAUAACCUUGCGAAAGUAAGACUAAUACCCAAUGAUAUCCCACGAAGGCAUCGGAAUGGGAUUAAAGAUUUAUCGGUGAUGGAUGGGGAUGCGUCUGAUUAGCUUGUUGGCGGGGUAACGGCCCACCAAGGCAACGAUCAGUAGGGGUUCUGAGAGGAAGCUCCCCCAAAUUGGAACUGAGACCCGGUCCAAACUCCUACGGGAGGCAGCAGUGAGGAAUAUUGGUCAAUGGGCGAGAGCCUGAACCAGCCAAGUAGCGUGCAGGAAGACGGCCCUAUGGGUUGUAAACUGCUUUUAUAAGGGAAUAAAGUGGGUCACGUGUGACUUUUUGCAUGUACCGUAUGAAUAAGGACCGGCUAAUUCCGUG
rnacentral:rRNA from 1 species